CCUACGGGCGGCAGCAGUGGGGAAUAUUGCACAAUGGGGGAAACUCUGAUGCAGCGACGCCGCGUGAGUGAAGAAGUAUCUCGGUACGUAAAGCUCUAUCAGCAGGGAAGAAAAUGACGGUACGUGACUAAGAAGCCCCGGCUAACUACGUGCCAGCAGCCGCGGUAAUACGGAGGGGGCAAGCGUUAUCCGGAUUUACUGGGUGUAAAGGGAGCGUAGACGGCAGCACAAGUCUGGAGUGAAAUCCCGGGGCUUAACCCCGGAACUGCUUUUGAAACUGUGCGGCUGGAGAGCAGGAGGGGUAAGCGGAAUGCCUGGUGUAGCGGUGAAAUGCGUAGAUAUUAGACAGAACACCGAUGGCGAAGGCGGCUUACUAGACUAUAACUGACGUUGAGGCUCGAAAGCGUGGGGAGCAAACAGGAUUAGAUACCCCGGUAGUC
rnacentral:rRNA from 1 species